CCUGGCGGAGAUAGCGCGGUGGUCCCACCUGACCCCAUGCCGAACUCAGAAGUGAAACGCCGUAGCGCCGAUGGUAGUGUGGGGUCUC
rnacentral:rRNA from 1 species